UACGUAGGGUGCGAGCGUUGUCCGGAAUUAUUGGGCGUAAAGAGCUCGUAGGCGGCUUGUCGCGUCGGAUGUGAAAGCCCGGGGCUUAACCCCGGGUCUGCAUUCGAUACGGGCAGGCUAGAGUUCGGUAGGGGAGACUGGAAUUCCUGGUGUAGCGGUGAAAUGCGCAGAUAUCAGGAGGAACACCGGUGGCGAAGGCGGGUCUCUGGGCCGAUACUGACGCUGAGGAGCGAAAGCGUGAGGAGCGAACAGG
rnacentral:rRNA from 1 species